rnacentral:ncRNA from 3 species
AGAGUUGCGUCUGGACGUCCCG